rnacentral:rRNA from 1 species
CCUACGGGAGGCAGCAGUAAGGAAUAUUGGUCAAUGGGCGGAAGCCUGAACCAGCCAUGCCGCGUGCAGGAAGACGGCCCUACGGGUUGUAAACUGCUUUUGCAGGGGAAUAAACCUUCGUAUGUAUACGAAGCUGAAUGUACUCUGAGAAUAAGGAUCGGCUAACUCCGUGCCAGCAGCCGCGGUAAUACGGAGGAUCCAAGCGUUAUCCGGAUUUAUUGGGUUUAAAGGGUGCGUAGGCGGCCAAUUAAGUCAGGGGUGAAAGACGGUAGCUUAACUAUCGCAGUGCCUUUGAUACUGAUUGGCUUGAAUGGACUAGAGGUAGGCGGAAUGUGACAAGUAGCGGUGAAAUGCAUAGAUAUGUCACAGAACACCAAUUGCGAAGGCAGCUUACUAUGGUUUAAUUGACGCUGAGGCACGAAAGCGUGGGGAUCAAACAGGAUUAGAUACCCUGGUAGUCCACGCCCUAAACGAUGAACACUACGAUAGUUAGUCGAUAUACUAGUAGUACGUCUAAGACGAAGACGUUAAGUAGUUCCGUACCGUCGGGAGGUACGGUCCGGCCGACGGGUUAGGAACGUACGAAAGUUAAGUAGUUAGGCGGCGNGAGAGCGACGACGACGACGACGGAGGAGGAGG